rnacentral:tRNA from 1 species
CUUAGUUAAGUGUCUGAGUUGCAUUCAGGAGAUGUAUGUUAAGUUGUACAGGUCUUC